CUACGAAGGAUAGUUAUGUCAUUUUCUCACUUUCACGUGUUAUCAAUUUAAACCACAUUUUCUCACUUUAUCAAUUGUAACCGCACACCGCAACUUUGUACUCUUUCCUGCAUCUUCGUACACUUUCCAAAGUUACUUUAUUGUUUCAAAGUUACGCCUCUUCUUCUCAAUCAAAAAAUCUCCACAUCACAAAAUAGCCUUCACAAUCUUUGUGCUUAGAAGCUCACAAUCUCUUGUCUUCCCGGGAGGAGACAGGUUUAGCUGUUGUUUGAGCAGCCACCUCUGCUGCAAAGUCCUGGCUCUUCUUCUUAAGACCUUUCCCAGCUAUCAGUUUGUAGCCGUUUGUGCCGUGUUGGUUAUUGUUCUUAUCUGUGAUCGAUCAUCUCCACUUUGACUUAAAUAAUUUAUUGUAAUAUUUCCUUCAUGAGCUAGCAUUUUGACUAAAUGACAUGUGUUGGCAUUGGUCUACAGCUGCCGUUGCACAACACAUGGCCCUAAGAUCAAGGAUCUAUCUGAUAACAACCGACACUCCUGAUUGGACAUGUGAAGUACAGAUUGCCGACAUCAGUCUAGAGAGAAAAGGCCCUGAGAAGCAAAUGCUGUUCCAAAAUCUCCUUUUAGAAGAUGAAGAGGGCCAACAAAUUAGGGUUGCUGUGUAUGGAGAUGACAUUGCAUAUUAUGCGGACAAAUUGGUUCUCCUAAACACCUACCUGAUCUCGGCUGCACGGGUAAAGGAAUGCCAAAAUCAUAUGCUCGGCCAAUACAUACAUAUUACUGGAUACUUGAUAAGGAAACAAUAGUUGAACGUAUCAACCCCAAUGAUGAGAUUGAGAAACCCUUGUCACCGCCGACUAAGCUGAAUCUCACACCUUUAGCCAAUGUUGCUCAGCUGACACCCACUCCCUCUGCAGAAAUUGAUAUAUUACUUUUGCCAAAUGUUGUACGACUAAAAUUUAUAUGCCUGCACAGAUAGAUGCUAAAUAUAUCUUCCUAUUUCUUACUACUA